CAGGGACAGUCUCUGGGAAUUUGGGAUUGUGGAGCCCAGAAUUUGGGGUGCUGGAGCCCCAGGACAAUUGCCUGGAGUUUGGAAUGGUGGAACCUGGGGACAAGCACUGGGAGUUUGGGGUCAUGGAGCUUGGGGACAAUUGCCAGGAAUUUGGGAUGGUGGAGUCCCAGGACAAUCUCCAGGAGUUUGGGAUGGUGGAACCCAGGAACUAUCACUGGGAAUUCGGGGUGGGAUGGAACUUGGGGACAAGUGCCAGGAAUUUGGGAAAGUGGAGACAGUCACUGGGAAUUUGGGGUGGUGGAGUUUGGGGACAAUUGCUGGGAAUUGGGGAUGGUGAAGCCCCAGGACAAUCUCUGGGAGUUUGGGAUGGUGGAGCCUGGGGACAGUCACUGGGAAUUUUGGGUGGUGGAGUUUGGGGACAAUCUCUGGGAGUUUGGGAUGGUGGAAUCUGAGGACAAUCACUGGGAAUUUGGGGUGCUGGAAUCUGGCAGGUAAAACGAAGCUGUUCCAGGGGUGUGUAAAAUGGCAGAGGGAGAAGCCAGAAAUCAAUUUCCAUUAGGGAGCUGUCUGGCAGGGCUGGCAAAAUGAAACACUAAUUCCCAGCAGUUCUGGGUCAUUACCUGGAUUUCAUGGAGGCAGGAGCAGGGCUGGCUCCUCUCACGCUGGGAUUUUGCUGCUGCAACAGAAAUCAGGAAAAUCUCCUCUUUCACUCAGCUCCCAAGGAAAUUAUUUUUUUUCAUGGGAAAAGAAAGAAAGGGGAGGAAAAAACUGCUGUAAAAAGCCAGAUUUUCAGCCAGCCUGAGUGCUGCCCUGCCAUGGGUUGGCCCAGUGGAAUUCCCAGUUCCAGUGACAGAUGCAGAGCUCGUUAAUCACACCCCAGCCUCCUGCAUCUCCUCCCAGAGCCUGUUGCUAUUUGUGACUGGAAAUUUGUGUCAUGGAACCAUGCAGCUCCCAAAAGAUCCUGAAUGGUUUCCAUCCCAGUCAGCCCCUGCUGCCUCCACCAGCUCUGGCAAAAAGCACAAAAUUUGACAAUUUUCAGCCAGAGAUUUUUGUCCCCCUGGGCACGAGCCCAAUCCCACAGGUUUGGCAGGAGUGUGCCCAGGCUGGUUUGGAAUUGAAUGUGCUGGAAGAUGGAGGAGCUGAGGGUCAAAUCCCAAGGAUCUGUGAAUGUGAAUUCCCAGCAUUCCCAGCUGGGAAUGCUGCUGGUGGUGGGGGAACAGAAAAUGGGAGGAGGGAAAAAGUAACAGGGGCAGUUCCAGGCCUAAAAGUUCCUCCUGCCCUGGGCACGUUCUGGAGGAUGGAGCAGCCCUGGGAAUGCCCUGGAAAGGUUUCCUCCAGCACAGCCCUGCCUUUCCCCUCUUCCCACGGAUUUACACCUCGAGAAUGCCCUGGACAGUUUUUUUCCUGCCCUGGGAAUGCCCUGGGAAGGUUUUUUCCUGCCUUUCCCCUCUCCCCAUGGAUUUUCUCCUCGAUAUUCCAGCUUUGGGUGAUUUGUCAGUGACCCAGGCUGAGCUGAGGCUGCUCUGCAGUGGAACUGUGUCCACCCCAGGGCUAGGAAAGAGCAGGAUCAGGUUUGGGAAGAGCCUUUGGUGGCACCAUCAGUGCUGGAGCCAGAGUGACACAAAUCCAUGCCCAGCCACCCCAAGGGAUGUGUUUUGUGCUCUCAAUCCCCCUCCUGCCCAGGGCAUGUGCUGGAGCAGGGAACAGCCCUGGGAAUGCCCAGGAAAAGGGGGAUUUGUGGGGAUGGAGAGGGAGAGAUUUGUGGGGAUGGAGAUGGGGAAUUUGUGGGAUGGGGAUGGGAGAUUUUGGGGUUGGAGAUGGGGAAUUUGUGGGAUGGAGAUGGGAGAUUUUGGGGAUGGAAGAUGGGAGAUUUUGGGGUUGGAGAUGGGAGAUUUUGGGGCUGGAGAUGAGGAGUUUGGGGAUGUGGGGAUGGUUUCCUCCAGCACAGCCCUGCUUUUCUCCUCUUCCCAUGGAUUUACACCUCAAUAUUCCAGCUUUGGUUGAUUUGUCAGUGACCCAGGCCGAGCUGAGGCUGCUCUGCAGUGGCACCGCGUCCACCGCAGGGCUGGGGCCGCGGGGAUUUGGGAGCCUGGCUGUGCAGCAUCCCCGCAGCCCUCGGGACAGGCAGGGCAGGGUUACACAACGCUGUUUGUUUUCCUCUCCUUAGCAACCCCCGCACGUCCUGCCCUGCCCGCGGGGCUCGCUCCGUGCACGAUUAAUUGCUCCAAUAGAAAGGCCCCGUUAACCUGAAUAUAUUAUUGAAAAGCAGCAUAUUUCAAUCCGCCCUAGAUUUGGAAAUAAAGAUGCCAGGUCAGCUCCUGGCAUAAAUCUGCAGAGCUCCUGGAAGUUGGUGGAGCUUCCCUGAUUUACAGCGGGGAGAGGAAUGGGGGAUUUGUCUUUCCAAAGGAGCUGUGGGGCUGCUGGGAGAUAAAACCAGCACUGGGAGAUAAAGAAACAAUGGGGAGGAUUCCACUGAGUGAUGAAUGGGAAAAGAUGUUUGAUUUUACAAAUAAACUUUGGGUUUGCUGAGAAAUGAAACUGGACAUUGAGAGAUGGAAGAAACAAUGGAGGGGGAACCCCUAAAUUCCAUAAGAAUUAAAAAUGAAAAGGGAGGGUUGUACAUUAGAGGGGGAUCUUUGGGAUCAGGUGUUCUGGGGAGUCUGAACCUCUCAGGUACCUCAGAAAUGGGGAGAGAGAGAAGGGAAAUGUGGGAAAUUGGGAUAAAAAGGAGGCUGAGUCCUCCAAAAAUCCAAGAGAUCCCAGGAAAUGCCCCAUGGCCUCUCCCUUGAUUGGAAUGAAUAAAAGGACUCCUCUGUCUCCUUUUUGGAUAUAGACCUCUGGUGUUUGUGGGUUAAUUUUCCUGACAGCAGCAAUAAAGGGAGGGAGAGGGCAGAUGGAAAGGGGGAGAUGGAAAAGGAGGAUGGAAAAGGAGGAUGGAAAAGGAGGAUGGAAAAGGAGGAUGGAAAGGGUUUGGAGCUGGCUGGGAGAGGCUGGAAGGGGCUUCAGGGGCAGAAUGGGGCUGGAAAGGACUGGAGAGGACAGAGGGGACAGAAAGGGACUGGAGGGGACAGAAAGGGGCUGGCAGGAGCUGCAAGGGGCUGGCAGGAGCCGCCUCCCGAGAUAAGGCUGGGCUGGAGCUCGCCCUUAUCUGCCCGCAGGAGCCGCUCUGCGGCCGCAGGAGCGAAUUCCAGCCCCGGCUCCCGGCUGUAAUUUCACUGCACAGCGCUUUAAUUCCAACUGCAACCGCCGGCAUUUCCACCCCACCUGGUCCUGCUGCAGCGCAUCUUUCACAGUUCUCAUUCUCUAAAAUAUCCCGUCUUUUUGCAAAGUUCCCCCUCUCCCUCUCCAGGGAGACUCUGCAGCUCAGGGAUGGCACAAGAAGCUGCAGCAGCAGCAGAUUUCUCUGAAAAAAAAAGCCAAAGGAGACCCAAAAUCCCAAGGGAUCCCAAAAUUCAGGAGGCAGCUGAGGUUGGAGAGCUCGUGGAGUGAGGAGCAAAACUCCUGGAAGCUUCUGGAAGCAAACCCUGCACACAGCCAGGUCCAAGCCACCCCAGUGUGUCCCACACAGUGCAAAGAGAGGCUCCUCCCUCUGCAAAUCCCCUGAGAAAAACGGAGAAAAUGGAAUUUUUCCUUUGUACAGCACCCAUGGAAAAGUUCUCCCCUCUGUCCUGGCCUUCACCAAGGCUC